rnacentral:ribozyme from 13 species
UUUUUUUUUUUUUUUUUUUUUUUUUUUUUUUUUUUCAGCAAUCAGUCUCAUACAAUGAACGUUGCUGAAAGUCUGAG